CCUACGGGUGGCAGCAGUGGGGAAUAUUGGACAAUGGGCGAAAGCCUGAUCCAGCCAUGCCGCGUGUGUGAAGAAGGCCUUCGGGUUGUAAGGCACUUUCAGUGGGGAAGAAAGCCUUGGGGCUAAUACCCUCGAGGAAGGACAUCACCCACAGAAGAAGCACCGGCUAACUCCGUGCCAGCAGCCGCGGUAAUACGGAGGGUGCGAGCGUUAAUCGGAAUUACUGGGCGUAAAGCGCGCGUAGGCGGUCUGAUAAGCCGGUUGUGAAAGCCCCGGGCUCAACCUGGGAACGGCAUCCGGAACUGUCAGGCUAGAGUGCAGGAGAGGAAGGUAGAAUUCCCGGUGUAGCGGUGAAAUGCGUAGAGAUCGGGAGGAAUACCAGUGGCGAAGGCGGCCUUCUGGACUGACACUGACGCUGAGGUGCGAAAGCGUGGGUAGCAAACAGGAUUAGAUACCCUAGUAGCC
rnacentral:rRNA from 1 species